rnacentral:rRNA from 1 species
AGUGAACGCUGGCGGUAGGCCUAACACAUGCAAGUCGAACGGCAGCACAGUAAGAGCUUGCUCUUACGGGUGGCGAGUGGCGGACGGGUGAGGAAUACAUCGGAAUCUACUUUUUCGUGGGGGAUAACGUAGGGAAACUUACGCUAAUACCGCAUACGACCUACGGGUGAAAGCAGGGGAUCUUCGGACCUUGCGCGAUUGAAUGAGCCGAUGUCGGAUUAGCUAGUUGGCGGGGUAAAGGCCCACCAAGGCGACGAUCCGUAGCUGGUCUGAGAGGAUGAUCAGCCACACUGGAACUGAGACACGGUCCAGACUCCUACGGGAGGCAGCAGUGGGGAAUAUUGGACAAGGGGCGCAAGCCUGAUCCAGCCAUACCGCGUGGGUGAAGAAGGACUUCGGGUUGUAAAGCCCUUUUGUUGGGAAAGAAAAGCAGCAGGUUAAUACCCCGCUGUUCUGACGGUACCCAAAGAAUAAGCACCGGCUAACUUCGUG